CCUACGGGAGGCUGCAGUGAGGAAUAUUGGUCAAUGGGCGAGAGUCUGAACCAGCCAAGUAGCGUGAAGGAUGACUGCCCUAUGGGUUGUAAACUUCUUUUAUAUAGGAAUAAAGUGAUCCACGUGUGGGUUUUUGUAUGUACCAUAUGAAUAAGGAUCGGCUAACUCCGUGCCAGCAGCCGCGGUAAUACGGAGGAUCCGAGCGUUAUCCGGAUUUAUUGGGUUUAAAGGGAGCGUAGAUGGGUUGUUAAGUCAGUUGUGAAAGUUUGCGGCUCAACCGUAAAAUUGCAGUUGAAACUGGCAGUCUUGAGUACAGUAGAGGUGGGCGGAAUUCGUGGUGUAGCGGUGAAAUGCUUAGAUAUCACGAAGAACUCCGAUUGCGAAGGCAGCUUACUGGACUGCCACUGACAUUGAUGCUCGAAAGUGUGGGUAUCAAACAGGAUUAGAUACCCUAGUAGUC
rnacentral:rRNA from 1 species